UGUUGUGAACUUUGACGAAUAUUUUUAAAUAUAUAUUUUUUUUAUCCUAUUGACAUGAGAAGAAUUGCAACUUAUAGUAUUUUUCGUAUAAUUUUUUAAUAUGUAAAUUUUAGUUUCAAAAUUUUGAGUUGAUCUAAUCUCAUUUAGCUUCGAAAAUUAGUCAAAUUGACUCUCGAUAAAUAAAAAGUGUCAUAUAAAUUGGGACGGAGGGAAUACUAUUUUUAGCUUGAUCAUAUGCUAAUUUGAAUUUUGCUCAAAUAGGUUUCCUUUAUCUUGUUCGAUUUUGCUUUAUUUUUCUUGGAUUAUUGUAUAUUUUUAGAUCAAUCCUAUGUUACUUUUAUUUUUUCAAUUGAUUCUCCUCUAUGUUGUGCUGUUUUGUUUUAUUGUGUUUGCACUAUAUAUUUCUUUAGCGUGAUCCCGUGUUAAUUAAUUUUUGACCACUUUUUCAGGAAAAAUAUAUCCCUAUGUCCAUCAAAUUCCAAUUUUUCUUUUUUUACUUUGUUCUUUUAAGUUAUGAUUUGAUUUCUUAAUAGGUUCUUAUUUUUUUUUUUAUGUUGCGACACUGUUUUAUAUCCGUGAUUUAUUUUCCUAUUAAAUUCUAGACUGAUUUGGUUGAAUUAUAUUUAAUUUAUUCUUUAAAUACUCAAUUUAAUUGGAACAUGUUAUUUCAUUAGUUUUAUUUUCAUAUCACCAAAUUGAUUAGACUUUCUAACACAAGUCUAUUUUUACAUCACUAAGUUCAUUAGUUUUCUAACUCUUUUAUUACUCCAUCCGAUUCAUUUUAACUGUCGUUUUAACUUUUUACACUCAUUAAGAAUAAUAAAAAAUACAAGGAAUAAUUUACUAAGUUAUCCCUAUAUAUUAAGUGUUAGUUGAAAAUUGAGGAUUAUUAAAAAUAACUGUUAUAUCCCGUGUUUUUACACGCUUGGAAAAAAAUUUGAGAUAUCUUUGAUUUGUGAUAAAUAAGGUCAAAAUUUAAUUUUUACUUGACAUAGGAGUUGUGCAUGAAAGAAUGUUGAUGCGAAAGUGUCGAACAAGACUAAGGGCAAAUUUGAGAUUUUGGAAAUUAGUUUCGGGAAUUACAAAACGAGAUUUUUAACGAAUUGGGCUCAACAAAAAUUUGAGAAAAAUUGAGGCCCAAGACCACAAGGUGGCCGGCCAUGGUCCAAAAAUUACCAAGCCCAUGAGUUAAUUAAUUAGUCAUGUGCAUGGUCAUGUGACAAGUCUAGAUAAGAAGACCAAGUCUUCAUCUUUGUUCAAUUAGAAGCUUCAAGAAAGACAAGAGAAAUUGAGAGCCAAAAAUAAGAGCCUAUUCGGCUUGGCCAUAGAAAUUUCACCCUUGGAAAUCUUGCUCCUAAAAUUUUUCUCUUGGUGGAUUUAUACUAAGUUGAGGUCCCUCUACAACUUGGUGAAAUUGGUUUGGAAGAAAGAGCAUUUAAUUCCUCAAUUUAAACAUAUAUUCAAGUGAAGAAGAUUUUGGACGAAACGGGACUUAAGUUUUGGGCAAGCGUAAGUCGUAUAAAAGGUACCGAAGCUUACAGUGGUGAUCCGCCAGCCUAGGGUACACAGUACUAUUUGGAGAGCUCCUUUGAUCCGGAGCCCAUACUUUUGGUACAGAACUGUUGUUGCUUAUGAUUUCGUUUGGGUACGGCGGGGCCCUGUCCCGUCAUAUGAUUCUAUUGUCUGUAUAGAGGCCUGUAGUCAUGCUUGUGGGUCAUGGGUCGUGUUUGGUCAGCGAUGUUUGUUUGAUUUAUGUCAGUCUGUUCCUUCGCUGCGUUGAUUUGAUUAUCCUAUGUUUUACGACACAAAUAACGGUUUAAAUGAUAUGUUCGAAAUUUUGGGCACGCGAGAGUUACUAUAUGUAUGCCUAAGUAAGAUUUGGUCGGUAAGUACGUAUGGGUGUCCACGUCGGACACUAGUCGCGGCCCAUGGGGUUGGGUCGUGA